AAGUCGUAACAAGGUUUCCGUAGGUGACCUGCGGAAGGAUCAUUGUUGAUGCCUUGAGAAAUCAAUUGGACCGGCGAACUUGUUUGUCUAUACCCAUUGGGUCUGGAGGAGGCGUUCAACGAUGCCCCCUCCUCUCCCGAGUCGGGGCGGAGGUGGUCGUGCCUUGCUCGGCUGGCUUCUUUCCCGACAAAACACAAACCCCGGCGCUUCGUGUGCCAAGGAAUUCGAAACUGUUAAGCGCAGCACAGUGGACCCGGAGACGGCGUUCUGUGGGUGUUGUGGCGACAUGAGUUAUCUAAAAUGACUCUCGGCAACGGAUAUCUCGGCUCUUGCAUCGAUGAAGAACGUAGCGAAAUGCGAUACUUGGUGUGAAUUGCAGAAUCCCGUGAACCAUCGAGUCUUUGAACGCAAGUUGCGCCCGAAGCCACUAGGCUGAGGGCACGCCUGCCUGGGUGUCACGCGUCGUUACCCCCCAGCAAUGUGACAUUGCGUGGGGUGCAUGAUGGCCUCCCGCGAGCGUUGUCUCGUGGUUGGUUGAAAAUUGAGUUCACGACCGAGUGUGCGUUGGCCAAACGGUGGAUGAGUAAUGCUCGAUGCCGGCCACGUGCACGUCUGUGUCGGAUUUGGACCCUUGACCUCGUGCGUCUUUUACUUGGACGCCUCUAACGAGACCUCAGGUCAGGCGGGGCUACCCGCUGAGUUUAA
rnacentral:rRNA from 1 species